rnacentral:sRNA from 1 species
UUAUUACAUGCACGAUUUUUACUCCAAUUCUCUAUAAGAACACAGAACAAAACAGGGAAGUAAGCAUUUUCUUUUAAGAAAACAGCAAAAAGACUAUGAUUUCUAUUAAGAUCAAUUUGUGGUUACUUUUGUCCAUGCUUAUUGCAGCAGCUUUAUGGCCUGCACCAAUAAUGCCCAUGUUUCCCUUCAAUCCCUUAAACCCCCUAAAUCCCUUUAGUAAUCCUUUCACUGAUGCCAGCACGGCUGCAAGAGACGUCAUUGAUGGUUUUAUAGACGGAAUGGACACAUAAUAUGAAACAUUUGCAUGUGUGUAUAUACAGAAAGAAUUCUAUUGAAUGUAUUUUAAAAAAUUAAAAAAAAAUUAUUGAAAUAUGAUUAAAACGCAUAUGGCUUACAAA